AGCCAUGCGAGUCAUUGUAGCAAUACAAGGCGGACGGCUCAGUAACACGUAGUCAACCUAACUCGUGGACGUGGAUAACCUCGGGAAACUGAGAAUAAACCACGAUAGAUCAUAGUGCCUGGAAUGGCUUAUGGUUCAAACAGUUUACUGCCAUGGGAUGGGACUGCGGCCUAUCAGCUUGUUGGUGAGGUAAUGGCCCACCAAGGCGAUUACAGGUACGGGCUCUGAGAGGAGAAGCCCGGAGAUGGGUACUGAGACACGGACCCAGGCCCUAUGGGGCGCAGCAGGCGAGAAACCUUAGCAAUGUGCGAAAGCACGACUGGGUCAGUCCGAGUGAUUCCUGAUAAAGGAGUCUUUUGCUUGUCCUAAAAGCACAGGCGAAUAAGGGGUGGGCAAGUCUGGUGUCAGCCGCCGCGGUAAUACCAGCACCUCGAGUGGUCAGGACGAUUAUUGGGCCUAAAGCAUCCGUAGCUGGUUUUGCAAGUCUCCGGUUAAAUCCACCUGCUUAACAGAUGGGCCGCUGGAGAUACUACAAGACUAGGGAGUGGGAGAGGCAGACGGUAUUCGGGGGGUAGGGGUAAAAUCCUCUGAUCCUUUGAGGACCACCAGUGGCGAAGGCGGUCUGCCAGAACACGUUCGACAGUGAGGGAUGAAAGCUGGGGGAGCAAACCGGAUUAGAUACCCGGGUAGUCCCAGCUGUAAACGAUGCAGACUCGGUGAUGCAUUGGCUUCUUGCCAAUGCAGUGCCGCAGGAAGCCGUUAAGUCUGCCGCCUGGAAGUACGGUCGCAAGUCUGAAACUCAAAGGAAUUGACGGAA
rnacentral:rRNA from 1 species